CGCGGGGUGGAGCAGCCUGGUAGCUCGUCGGGCUCAUAACCCGAAGGUCGUCGGUUCAAAUCCGGCCCCCCCCGCAACCA
rnacentral:tRNA from 1 species